CUGAGGCCAGGCUGAGUGAGCUGUGCUGGCGACAAGAUCUGAACUUGGUGCGGCCACUUGCUGCUUCUGUGAAACCUAGGGCAUCAGAGAGAUCUUUUGCAUAAGUGUCCACAUGUUCUUCACUGCGAUCAGUCCCCUGGUCCCUGGAGGUCUUAUGUGUCCCUAGGAUAUAUAGUAGAAUAUUGUGUAACUGAAAAAGAAUGAGAUGUACUCUCAAAAGAACAAUGGAAAGCACUCCAAAAGGAAGAUGCAGGACAAUAUGACCACAUGGCACCUUUGAAUUACAAAAAAGCUAUGCUCUACAGACACGGGCCUGGACAAGCCCAGUUUUGUUGAAGUGCAGAAUCAUAGCACCUACAGUUGGUACAGUCUGACAUGAAUCUGGGUCCAGGACACUCAGCCAAGAGGCACUGGGGACAGGAGUAGAGGAGUACUAGCAUUUGAACUCAGGCCAUCCACAUGCUAGACAAGUGAUCUCCCAUCAAGCUAUAUUUCCAGUCCUUUUGUGUGUGUGCGUGUGUGUGUGUGUGUGUGUAAAGAGCAUCUGCCAUAGACAUAGACAUGCUGGAACUCACUAAGUUGGUGGCCAUAAAUAACAGCAGCCAUUGAACUGCUUAGUCAUGUCUGCUUGCAAUUGAUAAAAAGCUAUAAGGGGCACUAGCCAAAAGCAUGCUUAGUAAUGACUGGUUGCAAUUGAUAGGGAGCACAGCUUCAUGGACACGUGCAAAGAACAUGCCCAGCUGCAAUUACAUCACCUCACUGGACAUAACCAAUGGACGUUGACUUUCACUGGGUGUAACCAAUUAUCAACAUACAUCACCAACUUUGAAUUAUAAUUAAAUUGCUGGUCCUGCCACAUUGAAGAGUUUUGCUCCAAGGACAUCGGUGAGACUGGCCACCUUGCUGUCCAUCUCUGGACUGACUUCACCAUUCCCUGAUGUCCAGCCUUUGGCUGGAGAGAAGGACAAUGUCUGCUCUUGGGCUAAGAGAAGUUGCAUGGCAUGGGAGGUGUUUUGGGGGCUCAUGGUUGCCCCACGAUUGUGUAAUUUGCUUAUAGUGUUUAGUGUGCAUUAAAUGCUAGUUGGGGACUGGAAUUGUGGCUCAGCGGUAGAGUGCUCGCCUAGCAUGGGCGGGGCCUGGGUUGGAUCCUCAGCACA